UACGUAGGCAGCAAGCGUUGUUCGGAAUUACUGGGCGUAAAGAGUGUGUAGGCGGUGCUCCAAGUCUGGUGUGAAAUCUCCCGGCCUAACUGGGAGGGGUCGCCCUAGACUGGGCGUCUUGAGGACAGCAGAGGUGGGUGGAAUUCCUGGUGUAGUGGUGAAAUGCGUAGAGAUCAGGAGGAACACCGGUGGCGAAGGCGGCCCACUGGGCUGUCACUGACGCUGAGGCGCGAAAGCUCGGGGAGCGAACGGG
rnacentral:rRNA from 1 species